rnacentral:rRNA from 1 species
GACGAACGCUGGCGGCGUGCUUAACACAUGCAAGUCGAACGAAAAGAGGGAAAGAGCUUGCUCUUUCCGGAAUUGAGUGGCAAACGGGUGAGUAACACGUAAACAACCUGCCUUCAGGAUGGGGACAACAGACGGAAACGACUGCUAAUACCGAAUAAGUUCCAAGGGCCGCAUGGCCCAUGGAAGAAAAGGUGGCCUCUACCUGUAAGCUAUCGCCUGAAGAGGGGUUUGCGUCUGAUUAGCUGGUUGGAGGGGUAACGGCCCACCAAGGCGACGAUCAGUAGCCGGUCUGAGAGGAUGAACGGCCACUCUGGAACUGAGACACGGUCCAGACUCCUACGGGAGGCAGCAGUGGGGAAUCUUCCGCAAUGGGCGAAAGCCUGACGGAGCAACGCCGCGUGAGUGAUGACGGCCUUCGGGUUGUAAAACUCUGUGAUCCGGGACGAAAAGGCAGAGUGCGAAGAACAAACUGCAUUGACGGUACCGGAAAAGCAAGCCACGGCUAACUACGUG